UACGUAGGGGGCAAGCGUUGUCCGGAUUUAUUGGGCGUAAAGAGCGUGUAGGCGGCUAGGUAGGUCCGUUGUGAAAACUCGAGGCUCAACCUCGAGACGCCGAUGGAAACCAUCUAGCUAGAGUCCGGAAGAGGAGAGUGGAAUUCCUGGUGUAGCGGUGAAAUGCGCAGAUAUCGGAAAGAACACCAACGGCGAAAGCACUCUGCUGGGCCGACACUGACACUGAGAGACGAAAGCUAGGGGAGCGAAUGGG
rnacentral:rRNA from 1 species